AAUGGCACUGCAUGAAUUCACGGAUGCAUUGCGACAGACCGCGGAUCAUGCGGUACCAUAG
rnacentral:pre_miRNA from 1 species